rnacentral:precursor_RNA from 1 species
UCCUGCCAGGGCCAGCCCGUGCCAAGUGAAUAAUUCAGCAGGCCGGCCAAGACAGGAGG